AUUGAACGCUGGCGGCAGGCCUAAUACAUGCAAGUCGAACGGUAACAGGAAGCAUCUUGCUGCUUUGCUGACGAGUGGCGGACGGGUGAGGAGUGUCUGGGCAACUGCCUAAUGGAGGGGGAUAACUACUAGAAACGGUAGCUAAUACCGCAUAACGUCGCUAGCCCGAAGUGUGGGAACUACGGGCCACUUGCUAUCGAAUAUGCCGAGAUGGGAUUAGCUAGUAGGUUGGGUAACGACUCACCUAGCCGACGAUCCCUAGCUGGUCUGAGAGGAUGACCAGCCACACUGGAACUGAGACACGGUCCAGACCCCUACGGGAGGCAGCAGUGGGGAAUAUUGGACAAUGGGCGCAAGCCUGAUGCAGCCAUGCCGCGUGUAUGAAGAAGGCCUUCGGGUUGUAAAGUACUUUCAGCGGGGAGGAAGGGAGUAAAGUUAAUACCUUUGCUCAUUGACGUUACCCGCAGAAGAAGCACCGGCUAACUCCGUG
rnacentral:rRNA from 1 species